rnacentral:rRNA from 1 species
AAGGAAGCCGAAGCGAAAGCAACAGGUUCGUAGUCGCAAGACAUGGAACGACGUAUUAAAAGUGCGUGAAGUCAACAGGAUCAUACCCGAAGCCCGGUGAUCUAUGCGUGGGCUGGCUGAAGGGUGACGAAAGUUGCGUGGAGGGCCUAAGCGGUAUUGAUAUGCAAAUCAUUCGUGUGACCUGCGUAUAGGGGUGAAAGGCCAAUCGAACCGGGCAUCCGCUGGUUCCUCUCGAAACAUGCCGUAGCAUGACCUGAACCGAGGCCGAUGGUGAGGUAGAGCACUGAUUUAGGAAGUUGGGGAAGAAAUUCCUCACUCUUUUGUCAAACUCCGAAUUCCCCAUCGCCGCAGACGUUCGGCAGUCCGCACUACGGGGUAAGCUUGUAGUGCGUAAGGGAGACAACCCAGACCGUGGUUAAUGUCCCUCAGUGUAGGUUAAGUGUAAACACUAAAUGAGGUCCUAGGUCAAAGACAACUGGAAGGUGAGCUCAGAAGCAGCUAUCCUUAAAAAAGUGCGUAACAGCUUACCAGUCGAGAUUUAGGGCGCAGAAAAUGGACGGGGCUCAAACCUACCACAGAUACCACGGACCACAGCAAUGUGAUGGCGUAGAGAGGCGUCCUGUAUGGGUAGAAGCAGGGGUGUAAGUUCCUGUGGACCGUAUAGGAAUGAGAAUUCCGGCAGUAGUAGAAGCAAAGUCCGGUGAGAAUCCGGACCGCCGAAGGGGCUAGGUUUCCUCGACAAUGUUCGUCAGUCGAGGGUUAGUCGGUCCUAAGUUGUACCGUAACUCGAGUAUAGCGAAAGGGAAACAGGUUAAUAUUCCUGUACUGUCUGUCAACAAUCCUAACGUUUCCGGAUAAGCUCUGCAGGGUCGUCGCCCUGUUCAAGCGUAUAACCUCUUGGAGAACCGUCAUGGUGAGAAUAGAGUGAAAUCGUGAUGAAUCCUAGAGCCGACUUCGGGAACCCGUGAAAAAGGGACAAGACAUCCGUACCGAGAUCUGACACAGGUGCCCCUAGCUGAAAAGGCUAAGGCGUGUCGGUUUAAUUGUAGUUUAGGGAAUUCGGCAAAAUAGCCCCGUAACUUAGGAAUAAGGGGUGCCUGCCCGGUGAUCGGGCAGGUCGCAGUGACCAGGGGACUCCAACUGUCUAAUAACAACAUAGCAGACUGCAACUCAGUAAUGACUAGUAUAGUCUGUGAUUCCUGCCCAGUGCAGGUAUCUGAACACCGGGUACAACCGGACGAAGGACCUGUAAACGGCGGGGGUAACUAUGACCCUCUUAAGGUAGCGUAGUACCUUGUCGCUUAAUUGGCGACUUGCAUGAAUGGAUUAAUGAGAGUCCCACUGUCCCAAACACAAGUCCGUUGAAGCUUUUAUCCUAGUGCAGAGGCUAGGGCCUCCAUAUGGGAAGUGAAGACCCCGUGGAGCUUUACUGCAGCCUGUUGUUGUGUUACGAUAUCCCUUGCGCAGCGUAGAUGGGAGACGUUUGAGACGUAACUUGCGGGUUACGUUUAGUCGUAAUCUGAGACACCAUCCUUGGUUUAUUGUAACACUAACUCUCUUUGAGAGGACAUCGGUAGGUAGGCAGUUUGGGUGGGGCGCCACACCCUCGAAAAGAUAUCAAGGGUGCCCCAAGGUCAACUCAUGUGAGUCAGAAACUCACAGGAGAGUGUCAAGAGCAAAAGUUGGCCUGACGCUGAUACGCAUAGCAAGUAUCUGCGAGAGGAAACUCGGGUCUAACGAACCAAUACGCGCUUUUGAUGAGUGCUAUUGACGACAGAAAAGCUACCCCGGGGAUAACAGAGUUGUCGCCGGCAAGAGCACAUAUCGACCCGGCGGCUUGCUACCCCGAUGUCGGUUCUUUCCAUCCUGGCUGUGCAG